rnacentral:lncRNA from 1 species
GUGAAGAGAGAGCUAAACCCAAGUUAGCUAAACCAUCUGCACAAGUGUUCCCUUCCCUAAAAAUACGACUAACAAUAAAAGCAUGUUGUUAGUAGCCUCCAUGCAGUUGUACAAUCUAUUUCUAAUGAUCCAAGGAACCAUAGAAGCAUCCUUGCAAGCCAGAAGCACUAAUUUGGAAUCAGUUUCGAGCCAUAGGUUCAUCCAAUGAUUAGCAACAGCUAGUUCAAUAGCAACAAUGACAGCAAAAAUUUCAGCAAAGAAAGCAGAAGUGCAAUUUGGGAUAUCUUGAGCAAAACAGCCAAUGCAAGCUCCCAUAGCGUCUCUAACUAUGCCUCCACAAGCAGCUUUAGCUGAAUUUUUUAUGUAGGCUCCAUCAGUGUUAAUCUUGAGCCAAUUGAAGAGAGGAGGGAUCCAUAAAACUUCAAUGAUGAGAGGAGCCUUUGGAGGGUGGAUGUUAAUGUUCAAAGCUUUAAGGAUUGCAAAAUUCGGUCAUGUUGACUGAAGAACAAAGUUUAGUAGUGUUCCCUGUCAUGGAAACAUUAGCAAUUAUAGUGAUGAUGGCUGAUUUCUAGUGAGUUUUUUUUAUCUUGGAAUCUAAUCAAGUUUCUAGCCCACCAAAUAAUAUUGAUCACACAAGCCUUGAUGGCUAACCUGCAUUGUGGGGUGUAAGAACUACCAAUCUUCCAUAAAUCUUCAAGAGAAGAGAAAUUAAAAUUGGUGUUAAGAAUGUUAACCAGCCAAGACCACAAAUGUCUAGCAAAGGGACAUUGGAGAAAUAUUUAUUGAUAUUAAGAUCCAGAUGCG